AGAGUUUGAUCCUGGCUCAGAGCGAACGCUGGCGGCAGGCCUAAUACAUGCAAGUCGAACGGAUCCUUCGGGAUUAGUGGCGGACGGGUGAGUAACACGUGGGAACGUGCCCUUUGGUUCGGAACAACUCAGGGAAACUUGAGCUAAUACCGGAUGAGCCCUUCGGGGGAAAGAUUUAUCGCCAUUGGAGCGGCCCGCGCCUGAUUAGCUAGUUGGUGGGGUAAUGGCCUACCAAGGCUACGAUCAGUAGCUGGUCUGAGAGGAUGAUCAGCCACACUGGGACUGAGACACGGCCCAGACUCCUACGGGAGGCAGCAGUAGGGAAUCUUGCGCGAAUGGGCGAAAGCCUGACGCUGCCAUGCCGCGUGAAUGAUGAAAGGUUCUUAGGAUUGUAAA
rnacentral:rRNA from 1 species